rnacentral:lncRNA from 1 species
AUAUAUAAUUGAGCUCCUAUGCUUUUAAAAGUACCAAGUUAUUGAUACUUGUAGAUUUUUAGCCAUUGGAUUAAGAGAUAUACGGUUUGGAUGAUGUGGGCCCCUUAGGGUUGAGUGGGUGGUUGGUUGAAUAGUAUAAUCUAAUAGUUGAAAAUGAUCCGAGGAGUAGAUCUAACGGUAAAAAACUUACAAGCACCAAGUGCUUGGUGCUUUUACAAGCACCAUAGCUAGAUUCCCCCCCCCUCUCUCUCUCUCUCUCUAUAUAUAUAUAUAUAUAUAUAUAUAGCUAGGCUCUUAUGCUUUCGAAAGUACAUAGAACUCCGUGCUUUUAAGUUGUUUUCAAUGAUGGGACGUCUGAUUCGGCGAUCGGUUCCGUCAAACAUGAUCUACGCUAUUGGAACUAUCUAGAAACCAAAUUUCAUAAUUUUUUGACUUCGUUUGCCUUGUGAACAAGUAGCCUCAAAAUGAACGGCUGAAAGUAAAAAUUUCAUAAAAAACAGUGAUAAAUGACUCAAAUUUCAAAUCUGAAGUAUUGUUUUUACUCUUGAUGUUAAGUAGAAUUUUCUAUUAAAGUUUCAUGUAAUUUGGAUACUUCUACACCAUUGAACUUAAAAACGUGCCACAUCGGCCGUUAAAAUAAUCAUUUUUGAGACCCUAUGAUCGCUUGGUAAAUGAUGUCGAAAAAUUAUAAAAUUUGGUUUCUAGAUAGUUCCAAUAACAUAGAUUAUGCCUAACGGAGCUGAUCGUCGAAUUGGAUGUCCUAUUAUCAAAAACAACUUACAAGUACGGAGGCUUCCGUACUUUCGAAAGCACAGGAGACGUACUCUCUCUCUCUCUCUCUCUCUCUCUCUAUAUAUAUAUAUAUAUAUAGAGUUGACCUGGAAUACUAUCGGUAGCAAACGGGCUCCGUUGCCACUCAUUUAUUUUCGAUGAUGGAGCCACCAAAUCGACGAUCGGCACCGUUGAAAAUGAUCUAUACCACUUGAAGUAUCUAGAAAUCAAAUUUCAUACUUUUCCGAUAUUGUUUUCUUGUCCAUCAAGUGGGCAUAAAAAUGAAUGGCUGAAAAUGAAUAUCCUCUAAAAAGUGAUGAUAGAAAUUUUGUAAUCAUGAUCGAGAAUAUAGGUCUUAUUCUAAAUAGUUUAAAGAAUUUUCUAAUCAAAAUUCAAUUGAUUUGGAUAGCUUUACACCGUUAAACGAGAAAGCCCCUCAUAUCAACCAUUAAAAUUAUUAAUUUUGAAACCCUUUAAUCAUUAGGUAAAUGAAGUCGAAAAGAUUUGGAAUUUAAUUUCUAAAUACUUCAAAUGAUAUAGAUCAUGUUCAACGGUGCCGAUCGUCGAUUUGAAAGCUCCAUCAUCGAAAACAAAUGGGUGGCAACGGAGCCCGUUUGC